UAGGGAAUCUUCCGCAAUGGACGCAAGUCUGACGGAGCAACGCCGCGUGAGUGAAGAAGGAUUUCGGUUCGUAAAACUCUGUUGUUAGAGAAGAACAGCGCAUAGAGUAACUGUUAUGCGUGUGACGGUAUCUAACCAGAAAGCCACGGCUAACUACGUGCCAGCAGCCGCGGUAAUACGUAGGUGGCAAGCGUUGUCCGGAUUUAUUGGGCGUAAAGCGAGCGCAGGCGGUAAAUUAAGUCUGAUGUGAAAGCCCCCGGCUCAACCGGGGAGGGUCAUUGGAAACUGGUUGACUUGAGUGCAGAAGAGGGGAGUGGAAUUCCAUGUGUAGCGGUGAAAUGCGUAGAUAUAUGGAGGAACACCAGUGGCGAAGGCGACUCUCUGGUCUGUAACUGACGCUGAGGUUCGAAAGCGUGGGUAGCAAACAGG
rnacentral:rRNA from 1 species